rnacentral:rRNA from 1 species
UGUCCGGAUUUACUGGGUGUAAAGGGUGCGUAGGCGGCUUUGCAAGUCAGAUGUGAAAUCUAUGGGCUCAACCCAUAAACUGCAUUUGAAACUGUAGAGCUUGAGUGAAGUAGAGGCAGGCGGAAUUCCCCGUGUAGCGGUGAAAUGCGUAGAGAUGGGGAGGAACACCAGUGGCGAAGGCGGCCUGCUGGGCUUUAACUGACGCUGAGGCACGAAAGCGUGGGUAGCAAACAGGAUUAGAUACCCUGGUAGUCCACGCUGUAACGAUGAUUACUAGGUGUGGG